rnacentral:rRNA from 1 species
UGGGGAAUUUUGGACAAUGGGCGAAAGCCUGAUCCAGCAAUGCCGCGUGUGUGAAGAAGGCCUUCGGGUUGUAAAGCACUUUUGUCCGGAAAGAAAUCCUUGGCUCUAAUACAGUCGGGGGAUGACGGUACCGGAAGAAUAAGCACCGGCUAACUACGUGCCAGCAGCCGCGGUAAUACGUAGGGUGCAAGACGUUGAAUUCGGAAUUACUGGGGCGUAAAGCGUGCGCAGGCGGUUUGCUAAGACCGAUGUGAAAUCCCCGGGCUCAACCUGGGAACUGCAUUGGUGACUGGCAGGCUAGAGUAUGGCAGAGGGGGGUAGAAUUCCACGUGUAGCAGUGAAAUGCGUAGAGAUGUGGAGGAAUACCGAUGGCGAAGGCAGCCCCCUGGGCCAAUACUGACGCUCAUGCACGAAAGCGUGGGGGAGCAAAC